AGUCGAGCGAGCUUGCCUAGAUGAAUUUGGUGCUUGCACCAGAUGAAACUAGAUACAAGCGAGCGGCGGACGGGUGAGUAACACGUGGGUAACCUGCCCAAGAGACUGGGAUAACACCUGGAAACAGAUGCUAAUACCGGAUAACAACACUAGACGCAUGUCUAGAGUUUAAAAGAUGGUUCUGCUAUCACUCUUGGAUGGACCUGCGGUGCAUUAGCUAGUUGGUAAGGUAACGGCUUACCAAGGCAAUGAUGCAUAGCCGAGUUGAGAGACUGAUCGGCCACAUUGGGACUGAGACACGGCCCAAACUCCUACGGGAGGCAGCAGUAGGGAAUCUUCCACAAUGGACGCAAGUCUGAUGGAGCAACGCCGCGUGAGUGAAGAAGGGUUUCGGCUCGUAAAGCUCUGUUGGUAGUGAAGAAAGAUAGAGGUAGUAACUGGCCUUUAUUUGACGGUAAUUACUUAGAAAGUCACGGCUAACUACGUGCCAGCAGCCGCGGUAAUACGUAGGUGGCAAGCGUUGUCCGGAUUUAUUGGGCGUAAAGCGAGUGCAGGCGGUUCAAUAAGUCUGAUGUGAAAGCCUUCGGCUCAACCGGAGAAUUGCAUCAGAAACUGUUGAACUUGAGUGCAGAAGAGGAGAGUGGAACUCCAUGUGUAGCGGUGGAAUGCGUAGAUAUAUGGAAGAACACCAGUGGCGAAGGCGGCUCUCUGGUCUGCAACUGACGCUGAGGCUCGAAAGCAUGGGUAGCGAACAGGAUUAGAUACCCUGGUAGUCCAUGCCGUAAACGAUGAGUGCUAAGUGUUGGGAGGUUUCCGCCUCUCAGUGCUGCAGCUAACGCAUUAAGCACUCCGCCUGGG
rnacentral:rRNA from 1 species